CCUACGGGAGGCAGCAGUGGGGAAUAUUGCACAAUGGGGGAAACCCUGAUGCAGCGACGCCGCGUGAGUGAAGAAGUAUUUCGGUAUGUAAAGCUCUAUCAGCAGGGAAGAAAAGGAAGGUACCUGAUUAAGAAGCCCUGGCUAACUACGUGACAGCAGCCGCGGUAAUACGUAGGGGGCAAGCGUUAUCCGGAUUUACUGGGUGUAAAGGGGACGUAGACGGCAGCACAAGUCUGGAGUGAAAUGUCGGGGUGUAACCCCGGAACUGCUUUGGAAACUGGGCAGCUAGAGUGCAGGAGAGGUAGGUGGAAUUCCUGGUGUAGCGGUGAAAUGCGUAGAUAUUAGGAGGAACACCAGUGGCGAAGGCAGCUUACUGGACUGUAACUGACGUUGAGGCUCGAAAGCGUGGGGAGCAAACAGGAUUAGAUACCCCAGUAGUC
rnacentral:rRNA from 1 species